UGGAACAUAAGUUAAUUAGACUACAAGUCUUCAGAACUUGAAGUAGGGGUAAAGCUCCCUUGUUCUAG
rnacentral:tRNA from 1 species